rnacentral:rRNA from 1 species
UACGUAGGUGGCAAGCGUUGUCCGGAUUCACUGGGCGUAAAGGGUCCGUAGGCGGUUUAGCAAGUGAGUGGUGAAAUUUCACGGCUCAACCGUGAAACUGCCUUCCAAACUGCUAAACUUGAGGCAGGGAGAGGUCGGCGGAAUUGCCGGUGUAGCGGUGAAAUGCGUAGAUAUCGGGAGGAACGCCAGUGGCGAAGGCGGCCGACUGGAACUGUUCUGACGCUGAGGAACGAAAGCUUGGGGAGCAAACCGG